rnacentral:rRNA from 1 species
ACGGGAGGCAGCAGUGGGGAAUAUUGCACAAUGGGCGCAAGCCUGAUGCAGCGAUGCCGCGUGAGGGAAGAAGGUUUUCGGAUUGUAAACCUCUGUCAACAGGGACGAAAAUGACGGUACCUGUGAAGGAAGCUCCGGCUAACUACGUGCCAGCAGCCGCGGUAAUACGUAGGGAGCAAGCGUUAUCCGGAAUUACUGGGUGUAAAGGGCGCGUAGGCGGGGAUGCAAGUCAGGUGUGAAAUCUAUGGGCUUAACCCAUAAACUGCAUUUGAAACUGUAUCUCUUGAGUGUCGGAGAGGUAGACGGAAUUCCUAGUGUAGCGGUGAAAUGCGUAGAUAUUAGGAGGAACACCAGUGGCGAAGGCGGUCUACUGGACGAUAACUGACGCUGAGGCGCGAAAGCGUGGGGAGCAAACAGGAUUAGAUACCCUGGUA